CUUUUACAAUGAAGAGUUUGAUCCUGGCUCAGGAUGAACGCUAGCUACAGGCUUAACACAUGCAAGUCGAGGGGCAGCAUUCUUCUAGCAAUAGAAGAGAUGGCGACCGGCGCACGGGUGAGUAACACGUAUCCAACCUGCCGAUAACUCCGGAAUAGCCUUUCGAAAGAAAGAUUAAUACCGGAUAGUAUACGAAUAUCGCAUGAUAUUUUUAUUAAAGAAUUUCGGUUAUCGAUGGGGAUGCGUUCCAUUAGUUUGUUGGCGGGGUAACGGCCCACCAAGACUACGAUGGAUAGGGGUUCUGAGAGGAAGGUCCCCCACAUUGGAACUGAGACACGGUCCAAACUCCUACGGGAGGCAGCAGUGAGGAAUAUUGGUCAAUGGGCGAGAGCCUGAACCAGCCAAGUAGCGUGAAGGAUGA
rnacentral:rRNA from 1 species